GUGAUGUUUAACUUUCGUGUGCUACUGCAGUUUGUAUGAUAAAGGUGCUCUCACAAUGCUCCAUUUGAGAAGUUACAGAUCAUUCAUCUAGCGAUACUGAAGAGCUAAUGGUGAUAUUACAAGUGGACUUUCAGGUAGGAAGCUCAAUAAUUGUAACACCAAACUCUGACAGAAUUACUCAAUUCAUCAGGACCUGGAUAUUCGCAUUGUGUAUUUCCACAGUUUUACUUCUGCACUAUUCUUAGUCUUUCAGAGGGAUCGAAAGGUUGUGUUCCAGAUCUAUACAAUGACUGUCCUUCCUCGCUGGCUCCCCCACCUCUCUCUUUUGGUAGUUUUAUGCAAACACUGACUGGAUCCCUUACCUGGAGGAUAUUUAUGAAUGAAUUUGUUCUAAUGGUGAUCCAGCAUUUUCCCCAAGUAUCGCUCCACACAUGCCCAGAGAAUUUCUCAGUUUCACAAUCUGUGUCCUUCUGGUUUCUUACUCGCUACACUUAACUUUCUGUUUGAAAGUAUAGUCUGCAGUUGGAGAAUUUAAACAGGUCCACAUCCAGGUCUGACGGUCACUUUGUUUAUCACAACCCAAUUAUCUCAGGAUUUUGAACAAUGAAGGAAAAAGCAGCACUCACAUUGGGGAGAAAUGCACAUGGUGUGUGUGUUGAAGAGUCUGUGAAGAUUCAUCUGAAAUGUCCGAACACCAGUGCAGUGACACUGGGAGACAGUGUGGAAAUGUGCAGAUUGCAGGAAGGAAUUUCUUCAUCCAUCCCAGCUAGAAACUGACCACCAGAGUCACACUGGAGAGAGACCAUUGACCUGUUCUGCAUGAGGGAAAGGCUUUGCUGAUUCGAAUUCCCCGCUGAUACACCAGCGAGUUCACUCUGGGGAGAUACCUUUCAUGAGUUCUGAGUGUGGGAAGGGAUUCAUUGUCAUCCAAACUGUUAACACACCAGUGAGUUCACAGACAACCACAGUUGAAGAACUUUGCUGUCACUCUCACUAUCAAAUGAACCAUGGUUUUGGGCUGUUUGUACAGAUGUUACCGAUCCCUGCUCAAUUAAAGGUGCUGGUAUUGUGAAUAAAAUGUCACACUAA